rnacentral:rRNA from 1 species
AGUGAACGCUGGCGGUAGGCCUAACACAUGCAAGUCGAACGGCAGCACAGUAAGAGCUUGCUCUUACGGGUGGCGAGUGGCGGACGGGUGAGGAAUACAUCGGAAUCUACUUUUUCGUGGGGGAUAACGUAGGGAAACUUACGCUAAUACCGCAUACGACCUACGGGUGAAAGCAGGGGAUCUUCGGACCCUGCGCGAUUGAAUGAGCCGAUGUCGGAUUAGCUAGUUGGCGGGGUAAAGGCCCACCAAGGCGACGAUCCGUAGCUGGUCUGAGAGGAUGAUCAGCCACACUGGAACUGAGACACGGUCCAGACUCCUACGGGAGGCAGCAGUGGGGAAUAUUGGACAAUGGGCGCAAGCCUGAUCCAGCCAUACCGCGUGGGUGAAGAAGGCCUUCGGGUUGUAAAGCCCCUUUGUUGGGAAAGAAAAGCAGCAGGUUAAUACCCCGCUGUUCUGACGGUACCCAAAGAAUAAGCACCGGCUAACUUCGUG